UAAGGAAUAUUGGUCAAUGGGCGGAAGCCUGAACCAGCCAUCCCGCGUGCAGGAUGAAUGCCCUAUGGGUUGUAAACUGCUUUUAUCUGGGAAUAAACCACUCUAUUUAUGGGGUGUUGAAGGUACCAGAAGAAUAAGCACCGGCUAACUCCGUG
rnacentral:rRNA from 1 species